rnacentral:rRNA from 1 species
AGUGAACGCUGGCGGUAGGCCUAACACAUGCAAGUCGAACGGCAGCACAGUAAGAGCUUGCUCUUACGGGUGGCGAGUGGCGGACGGGUGAGGAAUACAUCGGAAUCUACUUUUUCGUGGGGGAUAACGUAGGGAAACUUACGCUAAUACCGCAUACGACCUACGGGUGAAAGCAGGGGAUCUUCGGACCUUGCGCGAUUGAAUGAGCCGAUGUCGGAUUAGCUAGUUGGCGGGGUAAAGGCCCACCAAGGCGACGAUCCGUAGCUGGUCUGAGAGGAUGAUCAGCCAAACUGGAACUGAGAAACGGUCCAGACUCCUACGGGAGGCAGCAGUGGGGAAUAUUGGACAAUGGGCGCAAGCCUGAUCCAGCCAUACAGCGUGGGUGAAGAAGGCCUUCGGGUUGUAAAGCCCUUUUGUUGGGAAAGAAAAGCAGCAGGUUAAUACCCCGCUGUUCGGACGGUACCCAAAGAAUAAGCACCGGCGAACUUCGU